rnacentral:rRNA from 1 species
CGGCCACAGCCCAAAACUCAAAGGACUUGGCGGUGCUUCAUACCCUUCUAGAGGAGCCUGUUCUAUAAUCGAUAAACCCCGAUAAACCUCACCAAUCCUUGCUAAUACAGUCUAUAUACCGCCAUCUUCAGCGAACCCUAAAAAGGAAUAGAAGUAAGCACAACCACAACACAUAAAAACGUUAGGUCAAGGUGUAACCCAUGGAGUGGGAAGAAAUGGGCUACAUUUUCUAUCCUAAGAA